rnacentral:rRNA from 1 species
GAUUAACGCUGGCGGCGUGCAUAACACAUGCAAGUCGAACGAUGAAACUUAACUGAUUUCUUCGGAAUGAUUUUAAGUGGAUUAGUGGCGGACGGGUGAGUAACGCGUGAGUAACCUGCCUUGGAGAAGGGGAUAGCCUUUGGAAACGAAGAAUAAUACCCUAUGAUAUGAUAAUAUCUCAUGAUAUUAUCAUCAAAGAUUUAUCGCUCUAAGAUGGACUUGCGUCUGAUUAGUUAGUUGGUGAGGUAACAGCUCACCAAGGCAGCGAUCAGUAGCCGGCUUGAGAGAGUGUACGGCCACAUUGGGACUGAGACACGGCCCAGACUCCUACGGGAGGCGGCAGUGGGGAAUUUUGCACAAUGGGGGAAACCCUGAUGCAGCGACGCCGCGUGAUUUAGAAGGCCUUCGGGUUGUAAAAAUCUUUUGUAUGGGAAGAAAAUGACAGUACCAUACGAAUAAGGACCGGCUAAUUACGUG